rnacentral:ncRNA from 1 species
CUCGCUGAACUUAGGCAUAUCAAUAAGCGGAGAAAAAGAAAUCGAACGACAUUUCAGUAGUAGCUGCGAGUGAACUGGAA